rnacentral:rRNA from 1 species
AUUGAACGCUGGCGGCAGGCCUAACACAUGCAAGUCGAACGAGUGGCGGACGGGUGAGUAAUGUCUGGGAAACUGCCUGAUGGAGGGGGAUAACUACUGGAAACGAUAGCUAAUACCGCAUACCAUCGGAUGUGCCCAGAUGGGAUUAGCUUGUGGGUGGGGUAACGGCUCACCAAGGCGACGUUCCCUAGCUGGUCUGAGAGGAUGACCAGCCACACGGGAACUGAGACACGGUCCAGACUCCUACGGUAGGCAGCAGGGGGGAAGAUUGCACAAUGGGCGCAAGCCUGAUGCAGCCAGGCCGCGUGUAUGAAGAAGGCCUUCGGGUUGUAAAGGACUUUCAGCGGGGAGGCGUUACCCGCAGAAGAAGCACCGGCUAACUCCGUGACAGCGGCCGCGGUAAUAC